rnacentral:rRNA from 1 species
UGGGGAAUAUUGCACAAUGGGGGAAACCCUGAUGCAGCGACGCCGCGUGAGUGAAGAAGUAUUUCGGUAUGUAAAGCUCUAUCAGCAGGGACGAGAAUGACGGUACCUGACUAAGAAGCCCCGGCUAACUACGUGCCAGCAGCCGCGGUAAUACGUAGGGGGCAAGCGUUAUCCGGAUUUACUGGGUGUAAAGGGAGCGUAGACGGCGAGACAAGUCUGGAGUGAAAGCCCAGGGCCCAACCCUGGGACUGCUUUGGAAACUGCCUUGCUGGAGUGCUGGAGAGGUAAGUGGAAUUCCUAGUGUAGCGGUGAAAUGCGUAGAUAUUAGGAGGAACACCAGUGGCGAAGGCGGCUUACUGGACAGUAACUGACGUUGAGGCUCGAAAGCGUGGGGAGCAAACAGGAUUAGAUACCC